GGAUUUUGUAAGUAGUUGCGAAUGAACACAAACUUGAUCACUUUGGCAAUCUUUGCACAUCAUUGUGCAACAAUUUGUAUAUGUAGGCACAGUGCUAUCAAAGCUGCAUGCAAGUGAUUUUUGAAAGGAUACAACAUGGGAUGUGAUAUUCAUGUGUGUGUGCCUGCUUUGUCCACAGCCUGUGCUGUAUGAAUCACAUUUCUUGCAACUGAAAUGCUAAUUGCAUGGUAAAGUUCAUGUGACAUGACACAAGCUUGAGAUUCAUGAUGUGCAAGUACCAUGAGGGAAAUGUGAAAAGGACUUUGAAAAGAGAAUUAAAGAAAGCCUGCAUUUGCUGACAAUAAAAGCAAGUGUGGAUGUUUAUGUAAUUGUUACUGCAUCAAUCAAUGCUCAUCAUGAUUACUGCAUGCUUUAUAUUACAGCUCAGAACACGAAGUGUGUGUAACAGCUCUGCUUUGAUUUUUCCCACGUGGGAUCAGUUGAAACUUUGUGAGAGCACUCUUCAGUUCCCUCACGUACCCACCAGCUUUGUCCACUCGUGUGUUGGCACACAUGUAAUGAUGAU
rnacentral:rRNA from 1 species